CCUACGGGGGGCAGCAGUGGGGAAUAUUGCACAAUGGGGGAAACCCUGAUGCAGCAACGCCGCGUGAGUGAAGAAGUAUUUCGGUAUGUAAAGCUCUAUCAGCAGGGAAGAAAAUGACGGUACCUGAGUAAGAAGCCCCGGCUAACUACGUGCCAGCAGCCGCGGUAAUACGUAGGGGGCAAGCGUUAUCCGGAAUUACUGGGUGUAAAGGGAGCGUAGGCGGCAAGGUAAGUAAGAUGUGAAAGCCCGCAGCUUAACUGCGAGGAUCGCAUUUUAAACUAUCUAGCUUGAGUACAGGAGAGGUA
rnacentral:rRNA from 1 species